UACGGGGGGGAGCAAGCGUUGUUCGGAUUUACUGGGCGUAAAGGGCGCGUAGGCGGCGUGACAAGUCACUUGUGAAAUCUCCGGGCUUAACCCGGAGCGGCCAAGUGAUACUGUCGUGCUAGAGUGCGGAAGGGGCUACUGGAAUUCCUGGUGUAGCGGUGAAAUGCGCAGAUAUCAGGAGGAACACCCGUGGCGAAAGCGGCUCUCUGGGACGGUACUGACGGCUGAGGAGCGAAAGCGUGGGGAGCGAACAGG
rnacentral:rRNA from 1 species